GGGCAAUUAACUCAGUGGGAGAGUGUCUUCUUGACGUGGAGAAAGUCGGGGGUUCGAAUCCCUCAUUGCCCACCA
rnacentral:tRNA from 1 species